AGCGAACGCUGGCGGCAGGCUUAACACAUGCAAGUCGAACGGGCACUUCGGUGUCAGUGGCAGACGGGUGAGUAACACGUGGGAACGUACCUUUUGGUUCGGAACAACACAGGGAAACUUGUGCUAAUACCGGAUAAGCCCUUACGGGGAAAGAUUUAUCGCCGAAAGAUCGGCCCGCGUCUGAUUAGCUAGUUGGUGAGGUAACGGCUCACCAAGGCGACGAUCAGUAGCUGGUCUGAGAGGAUGAUCAGCCACAUUGGGACUGAGACACGGCCCAAACUCCUACGGGAGGCAGCAGUGGGGAAUAUUGGACAAUGGGGGCAACCCUGAUCCAGCCAUGCCGCGUGAGUGAUGAAGGCCCUAGGGUUGUAAAGCUCUUUUGUGCGGGAAGAUAAUGACGGUACCGCAAGAAUAAGCCCCGGCUAACUUCGU
rnacentral:rRNA from 1 species